CCUCCGAAGUUUCCCUCAGGAUAGCUGGCGCUCUCGCAAGACCUGAACCACGCAGUUUUAUCUGGUAAAGCGAAUGAUUAGAGGUCUUGGGGCUGAAACGAUCUCAAC
ensembl:miRNA